GUAAUUCUGGACCUUGCAUUUCCACUUUCAAGGUUUUUCUGAAGACAUAAAGACAAAAAUGUAUGCAAAAUAUGCAUGCUCACUAUAGCACUUUUUAUAAUAACAAAAAAUAUAAUUAGAUAUUAGAAACAAUAUAAUAUACAUUAUAUAAAUUAAAUUAAUAUUCACAUAGAUAACAAUUUAAAUAAGGCAUAUGUCAUUCAUAUGUGCAAUGUAUCAUUCAUGUAUGUUUGUAAAUAUUUAGAAAAUGUCUUGAAAAAAGCACAUCAAUGUGAACAGUGGUUUCCUCUAAUUUGUGGAAUUUAUGGAUGAAGAGAAUGAAAGUUACAUAUAUGCAUAUAUGUAACUACACUUAUACAUAAUUAUAGUUGUAUAUAUUAUAAUUAUAUAUAACAUGUUAAUUAUAUUCCAUAUGAUUAUAUGAUAAUUAUAUGUAUAUAUUUCUAUAUUCUGAUGAUCUUUAAAAUAAUUUUUAAACUUUUUAAGAUAACUAUAAAUUCACAUGAAGUUUUAAGAAAUCAUACAGAGCAAUCCAGCAUAUUUUCUACCAAGUUUCCUCCAAUGGUAGUAUCUUGCAAAACUAUGCUGCUACAUCAAAACCGGUAUGCUGACAUUGAUACAGGUAAAACACAGAACAUUUCUGUCCUCAUAAGGAUCUCUCAUACAGCUCUUAUAUAACACACUCACUUCCUUCCUGCCCCCAUCGUCUCCUUAACCCCUGGAAAUUACAAAUUUGUUCUUUAUUUCUAUAAUUUUGUCAUUUUGAGAAUGUUACAUAAAUAAAAGUAUACAAAAUUU
rnacentral:antisense_RNA from 1 species